AGAGUUUGAUCAUGGCUCAGAACGAACGCUGGCGGCGUGGAUAAGACAUGCAAGUCGAACGAUUACUAUCGGGUAGCAAUAUUCGGUAGUGAGAGUGGCGCAAGGGUGCGUAACACGUGGGUAAUUUGCCGUGAAGUCUGGAAUAACUUGCUGAAAGGCGAGCUAAUACCGGAUGUGAUUUUUGGAAGGCAUCUUCUGAAACUCAAAGUCGGGGACCGUAAGGCCUGACGCCUCUCGAUAAGCCCGCGGCCUAUCAGCUAGUUGGUGAGGUAACGGCUCACCAAGGCUAAGACGGGUAGCUGGUCUGAGAGGACGACCAGCCUCACUGGAACUGAGACACGGUCCAGACACCUACGGGUGGCAGCAGUCGAGAAUUUUUCUCAAUGGGGGAAACCCUGAAGGAGCGACGCCGCGUGGGGGAUGAAUGGCUUCGGCCCGUAAACCCCUGUCAUUUGCGAUCAAACCUUACGCUUUAACACAGCGUAAGCUGAUAGUAGCGAAAGAGGAAGGGACGGCUAACUCUGUGCCAGCAGCCGCGGUAAUACAGAGGUCCCAAGCGUUGUUCGGAUUCACUGGGCGUAAAGGGUGCGUAGGCGGUCGGGUAAGUCUGACGUGAAAUCUUCAAGCUUAACUUGGAAACUGCGUCGGAUACUAUUCGGCUAGAGGAAUGGAGGGGAGACUGGAAUACUUGGUGUAGCAGUGAAAUGCGUAGAUAUCAAGUGGAACACCAGUGGCGAAGGCGAGUCUCUGGACAUUUCCUGACGCUGAGGCACGAAAGCCAGGGGAGCAAACGGGAUUAGAUACCCUAGUAGUCC
rnacentral:rRNA from 1 species